rnacentral:lncRNA from 1 species
AUGUCCACAGUCCAGAACCUCCACUCUUUCCACCCCUUUGCUGAUACAAGUAAGGGUGAUACCUGUCCUGCUGGCACUGAGGAUUAUAUCCAUAUAAGAAUUCAUCCAACAGAGAAAUGGCAGGAAGACCCUUACUACUGUCCAAGGGACUGCUGAUGAUUAUGAUAAAAAGAAACCAAUGAAGGCAUUUAAAAAGAAAUUUGCCUGCAAUGAUACUGUAAUUGAGCAUCCAGAAUAUGGAGGUCAUUCAGCUACAGGGUGACCAGCACAAGAACAUGUGCCAGUUCCUCUUAGAGAUUGGAAUGGCUAAGGACAACCAGCUAAAUGUUCAUGGGUUUUAA